rnacentral:rRNA from 1 species
GACGUAGGGCGCGAGCGUUGUUCGGAUUUACUGGGCGUAAAGGGCGCGUAGGCGGUCGUGACAAGUCACUUGUGAAAUCUCCGGGCUUAACUCGGAACGGUCAAGUGAUACUGUCGGACUAGAGUACAGAAGGGGCAACUGGAAUUCUCGGUGUAGCGGUGAAAUGCGUAGAUAUCGAGAGGGAACACCUGGCGGCGAAGGCGGGUUGCUGG